GUCGGGAUAGCUCAGCUG
rnacentral:tRNA from 80 species